rnacentral:rRNA from 1 species
CUGUGGAAAUGCUAGAGCUAAUACAUGACAUGAUGCUUUGAUCGUUUUUGUUCAGAGCACAUUUAUCGGAGACAAAUGUAGGGUGCUCGGCUUUGCCGUGAUAACCCAAAUAUACUAUUGAAAGGGAGUAACUAAUCGAUCGCACGGUCUUAGAACCGGCGACAAAUCUUUGAAAUGACUUGCUCAUCAACUGUCGAUGGUAGGUUACGUGCUUACCAUGGUGACAACGGUUAACGGAGAAUCAGGGUUCGACUCCGGAGAAGGAGCCUGAGAGACGGCUACUACUUCCAAGGAAGGCAGCAGGCACGCAAAUUACCCACUCCCAGCUAAGGGGAGGUAGUGACGAUAAAUAACGGAACGUAUCUCGAUGAGACGCGUUACCGGAACGAUUGAGCCGUAUAUAAGCUCGACAAAGGCUAUUGGAGGGCAAGUCUGGUGCCAGCAGCCGCGGUAAUUCCAGCUCCAAUAGCGUAUAUUAAAGUUGCUGCGGUUGAACCGCUCGUAGUUGGAUUGCGAUUUUGGGCCACGGUCCUCCUCCGGUAACGGAGUUGGUAUGAUUGGCUUUGCCACCGUUGGUCGUCAUAAUCGGUUGAUUGUCAUGAUUGUUCGCGAUGCUCUUUGCUGAGUGUCACGGAUGACAUGAACGUUUACUUUGAGAAAAUAAGAGCGCUCAAAGCAGGCUGCUCACACGAAAGCUUGAACGGAAUUUCAUGGGAUAGUGAAAGAUGAUCUCGCUGGUAUUCAAACGAGCCACGAGGUAAUGAUUAAAAGAGACAGACGGUGGCAUUCGUACUGCUACGUUAGAGGUGAAAUUCUUGGAUCGUAGCAAGACGAACAAUUGCGAAAGCAUUUGCCAAGAAUGUUUUCAUUAAUCAAGAACGAAAGUUGGAGGAUCG